rnacentral:rRNA from 1 species
CCUACGGGAGGCUGCAGUGGGGAAUAUUGGACAAUGGGCGAAAGCCUGAUCCAGCCAUGCCGCGUGUGUGAAGAAGGCCUUCGGGUUGUAAAGCACUUUCAGUGGGGAAGAAAGCCUUGGGGCUAAUACCCUCGAGGAAGGACAUCACCCACAGAAGAAGCACCGGCUAACUCCGUGCCACCAGCCGCGGUAAUACGGAGGGUGCGAGCGUUAAUCGGAAUUACUGGGCGUAAAGCGCGCGUAGGCGGUCUGAUAAGCCGGUUGUGAAAGCCCCGGGCUCAACCUGGGAACGGCAUCCGGAACUGUCAGGCUAGAGUGCAGGAGAGGAAAGUAGAAUUCCCGGUGUAGCGGUGAAAUGCGUAGAGAUCGGGAGGAAUACCAGUGGCGAAGGCGGCCUUCUGGACUGACACUGACGCUGAGGUGCGAAAGCGUGGGUAGCAAACAGGAUUAGAUACCCGGGUAGUC